rnacentral:rRNA from 1 species
ACCUGCCCUUAAGUGGGGGAUAACAUUUGGAAACAGAUGCUAAUACCGCAUAGAUCCAAGAACCGCAUGGUUCUUGGCUGAAAGAUGGCGUAAGCUAUCGCUUUUGGAUGGACCCGCGGCGUAUUAGCUAGUUGGUGAGGUAACGGCUCACCAAGGCGAUGAUACGUAGCCGAACUGAGAGGUUGAUCGGCCACAUUGGGACUGAGACACGGCCCAAACUCCUACGGGAGGCAGCAGUAGGGAAUCUUCCACAAUGGACGCAAGUCUGAUGGAGCAACGCCGCGUGAGUGAAGAAGGCUUUCGGGUCGUAAAACUCUGUUGUUGGAGAAGAAUGGUCGGCAGAGUAACUGUUGUCGGCGUGACGGUAUCCAACCAGAAAGCCACGGCUAACUACGUGCCAGCAGCCGCGGUAAUACGUAGGUGGCAAGCGUUAUCCGGAUUUAUUGGGCGUAAAGCGAGCGCGGGCGGUUUUUUAAGUCUGAUGUGAAAGCCCUCGGCUUAACCGAGGAAGCGCAUCGGAAACUGGGAAACUUGAGUGCAGAAGAGGACAGUGGAACU